rnacentral:sRNA from 1 species
CAGUCACACACAUACACAGUCACAAUCAUACACACAGUCACACACACAUAUAUUUGAGCUGGAUCUUUCGUUACACUAGAAAGAACUGCUACAGUAUCAGUCAGCAUGCUGCAACUGCCGCCAACCUUGAUGCUGUCUUUGAUGACCAUGCUUCUUGCAAUGAUGCUGCGUGUUCAGGGCUUCUACGUCUGCGCCCCAGACUUUUGCUCAUCAGUCGACUGCUCGGUGUAUAUGAAAAAUCCUUGCCAAGGCACCGUGGUGCAUCAUGGGAGUUUUUGUGGAUGUUGUGAUUUUUGCUUUCCCGCCUAAUUGGUUUUGGGAUGUUUAAAAAUGAGAGAAAAAAUAUCAAAAGCUUCCUUUUUUAUUAAAACAGUGAUUAUAUUA